GCCUGGCUGGCUCAGUUGGUUAAAUGUCUGACUUCGGCUCAGAACUCACAUUCGUGAGUUCGAGCCCCGUGUCAGGCU
rnacentral:tRNA from 1 species